rnacentral:rRNA from 1 species
CCUACGGGGGGCAGCAGUGGGGAAUAUUGGACAAUGGGGGCAACCCUGAUCCAGCCAUGCCGCGUGUGUGAAGAAGGCCCUCGGGUUGUAAAGCACUUUCAGUGAGGAAGAACGCCUGGUGGUUAAUACCCAUCAGGAAAGACAUCACUCACAGAAGAAGCACCGGCUAACUCCGUGCCAGCAGCCGCGGUAAUACGGAGGGUGCGAGCGUUAAUCGGAAUUACUGGGCGUAAAGCGCGCGUAGGUGGCUUGAUAAGCCGGUUGUGAAAGCCCCGGGCUCAACCUGGGAACGGCAUCCGGAACUGUCAAGCUAGAGUGCAGGAGAGGAAGGUAGAAUUCCCGGUGUAGCGGUGAAAUGCGUAGACAUCGGGAGGAAUACCAGUGGCGAAGGCGGCCUUCUGGACUGACACUGACACUGAGGUGCGAAAGCGUGGGUAGCAAACAGGAUUAGAUACCCCGGUAGUC